rnacentral:rRNA from 1 species
AGUGAACGCUGGCGGUAGGCCUAACACAUGCAAGUCGAACGGCAGCACAGGAGAGCUUGCUCUCUGGGUGGCGAGUGGCGGACGGGUGAGGAAUACAUCGGAAUCUACUCUGUCGUGGGGGAUAACGUAGGGAAACUUACGCUAAUACCGCAUACGACCUAAGGGUGAAAGCAGGGGACCUUCGGGCCUUGCGCGAUGGAAUGAGCCGAUGUCGGAUUAGCUAGUUGGCGGGGUAAAGGCCGACCAAGGCGACGAUACGUAGCUGGUCUGAGAGGAUGAUCAGCCACACUGGAACUGAGACACGGUCCAGACUCCUACGGGAGGCAGCAGUGGGGAAUAUUGGACAAUGGGCGCAAGCCUGAUCCAGCCAUACCGCGUGGGUGAAGAAGGCCUUCGGGUUGUAAAGCCCUUUUGUUGGGAAAGAAAUCCAGCUGGCUAAUACCCGGUUGGGAUGACGGUACCCAAAGAAUAAGCACCGGCUAACUUCGUGCCAGCAGCCGCCGUAA